UUGGGCCUGCAUGAACUUAAAAACAAAAGGUCCUAAGUAAUUAUAAGCAGCUAUAAAAUCGAAGAAGAGAUGAGGUGGAAAAUAGUGGGUGAAAUGACUGAAAAUCUUACUGUCUGUGUUGUAGUGCCAGAAGUAUGGCAAAUGAGAAUAAGAAAUGAGGAAAUCUUAAUGUUCUCUGAAAAUGUAAUUUUUAGUCUGAAUUUAUGAUUUAGGAAGCAUAACAGAAUUUCAUAAGGCAUGUCUUCUGACUGGAACACAUUAAUAUUAAAAACUGAUAUCUUAUUGAUAAAGAUUUGCAUAAAAUGAAAUGAAAAUGUAUUGUCCUGUGCUAAUGUUACACGCGGAACCUUUGAAUUACAGACUAUAAAAUGACUACAUUCUGCCAGUAAUCCCUGGACAAAGAGUGAAUUCUUAUCAUUUAGCAGUGCAAGGAAGCAUCCUUAUCUGGUAUAUAAAAGUUUAUGCAGAGAUAUGCAAGCUCUUAACACUAUCCACACUAGCUAAAUUAAAACUCAAGCGAGUGCCUGUAUUGUAAAUCACACUUUCAAUGUACUGUGUAGACAUAACUUUGAGAUCAAAGUGUUUUUUCCUUGUUUUGUAGUAACGCAGUUUGACACUUCAAAGUAUGAAACUACUUCGUUACAACACAAGAGACAUCUUUGAGUUAGAAUCUCUUUGUCAGUGACUAGGAUGGGUCACAACAAUGCUAUGGAGAAAUUAGGAAGAGUGUGAGUUGAGAAUCAGGAGCUGUGGCAGACUGAUUCCUUCUGGGCUCUUCAAGUGGUAGAAAAGUGUUUUUAAUAAGAAAAUGUAGCAGCCAGAUCAGGGACUAUUGUUUAUAGUGGUGACCUUGAUUGCUUCAGAAAAGAGGGUUCAAGUAAAACAUUUUUUUCUUGACAUUAGUUAAACUGACAAAAGCAUGAAAAUGUGAUAGAGUUCUGUAAUGUUAAGUAUGACUUUGAAAUUCUAAAUGUUGAGAGUUGUUUGUUUGUUUGUUUUUUAACACAAGUUAUUUAUUACUCUGAAAAGAAAAAACUGAUUAAAAUAGUAACCAGUAUUCCACUUACAGCUCUCACAUUCUAAGUUAUGCACUGUAUUUGCUUUGUAUUGCCUAGUCACACUCUUGCAGAGUAAUGCUCAGGGAAGGAAAUAUUUUGUGUGUUCAUCCAGUUGUCCUGUAGUAUACUUACUCCUGAUAGAUUUUUUCAAACAGCUUUCAUAUGUCUGCUGACAUACACAUAUAGCAUGCCUUAUUGUCUUAUUUAUGUAUAUAUUUUAGAUUUAAAUAUGCCUAUACUUUUUCGUAACUGCUUGCUAUUGUUAUGAAUUGUUCAGGUGGCAUUUCAUAGCUAUGCUAAUGCACACGCAAACGAUGGUAGAGAAAAAGGGAGAAAGAAAGAGGAAGUCCAGCUUGCCAUCUUAUUUAUGUAUUUACUUUCUUUUAAACAUACCCAUAUUUUUCCCUAAGUGCCUGGAACUAUAGAUGCAAUAAACACUAUUAAUCAAUAACCAUGCUCAAAUCAUUCAGUUCCUUCAACUCAGUGCUGUGAAACAAAUGUGAGAAACUAAAUAGACCUUGUAGAGUGCCCUGUAGUUCAAUAAAUCCAAGGCCUGUCUGAUCACGGAGACAAGGUAAUUUCAGCAAUUGACAUCUCAUCUGCAGUACUCUCUCUCUCCCUUUCUCUUCUGUUUCAACUGAAGAAUUAUGAACCCUGUUUCUUUUUUCCUUUUUUUCCCCCACUUUUGAUUUAUUUAAAUUGUUAUGACAAGAAAUAGGAGGAGAGGAAGUUUAAAAAAAAAAUAAAAAUGAGAAGGACUCACACUAUUUUAACUCUGAAAGAGAACCAUGAAUAACUUAAAUUUGCUCAGAAAAAAAAAAAAAAUCUCAAACAGGAGAAGAAUGAAGAAACUCUAAGUGAUAAUCUCAAGAAAAUACUAAAAUACAGAAAUCCUGAGAGAGAAGAGCUUUAUAAGAAUGAAGAAAGGAGAAACUGCCAGUCUUAAGUUGAGUUAUGUGUCUGAAGAGUCAGUAUUUCUGAGUGCCUUUAAAGUCCUUCACACACUUUGUGCAGUUAGUAUUCAAUAAUACUCCAUAGUAACUCUUCAUCUCAUAAAUCUGAAAAACAAUAUAAAAGUGGUUUCUUCUCAUCAAAGGCUGAGAAGAAAUAACAAAUAACUUUGAUUUUCAGCACCAUGAACAUAGCAAGAACUAGUUAUAAAAAUGCAUUUUUCUCAGUUUCACCUUUAUAUUGUACAAACUUCUCUGUUGAAAUUUCAGAUUACUACUACUACUACACUGAAAAAUGCAAAUGCCAGUUGAUUCAUGUCAUAGGAGAAUUAAGAAAUUUGCAUAGCUAUGCUCUGUUUAGCAAGGAAGAACACUAUUAGAAUAGCCCUGACAAAAUAGAGAAAAUUUAUCACCUCCUGCAAUAAUCAAUUUUGUAAAUAAAAGCAGUUUAAAAUGACAGUUAACAAGCAUUUAUCAGUUCAAUCUUUAUUACUAGUUUAUUUAUUUAUUUUAAUAGCAGUUUUAUGACAUGGAACCCCCAUAGCCUUUGAAAUACAGUUCUUUCAUCAGUGGCCUUUAAAUUGAGUAACAUAAAGUAACAGCAAACUUUUUCCCUCCCUCAAGGCACACAUCUGUGCUAAUGCUUUAUCUUUGAAUUUGUGGGAGAAAAGCACGUUGUUGCCUCUGUCACAUUUAUGAAUUUGUUUUCCCUUUAAACAUACCUAUAUUUUUCUCUGUGUCAACUAUGGAUAUGAAAUGUUCAGGUCAGUUUCAAUGUGAUAAUAACUAUGUAUUAUCUUCAUUUUCUUGUAUUGCAUUAAUGCUCAGGAGUAACCAUGGGCUAGGCCUUUUUCAGUACAAACCGAGUAGAAAUUAUUGGUGAUCCAAGUAAACUGAUUUUGCCUACACCUUCUCACAUCCUGUAAUAAGAUUAUCCUCAAAAUCUGCUUUUCAUGAUUAUGUUCAAUGUUUGAAUUCUGGGACCUCAUAAUUUAUUUCCCCUUAUGCGGACUCUACGGUUUUGAAAUGUAUGUAUAGUCACACACACACGUAUGCAUUAAACAGCAAGACACACUUGUUUGGAAAGUUUUUGUUUCUAAUUGAAUAAUAAUACCAUAAACAAUAAAUUCCAUAGGCAAACCCAUUUCUUAUUUGUAUGCACACAGAUUGAUGUUCUUCUGCCAAGUAUGUAUUUUGAGCACUGCCGUUUAGAUUUUCAGGUUAAUAGCAUUCAAACAAAAUGGAAAGCUGAGAACUGAAAUGUCUCCUUACCCUUGGGGAUGCCACAACAAAUUAGUAAGACAAUCUAGUCUUAUAACAAUACUUUCUGUUGUUAUGACAGUCAUCAUAUUUAAAUACUUUAUAAGCUUCAUCCGGGCACUAUCAUCACAAUUCUUUGUAUGAGCUAACUUGCUUUUGAGGCACACCUCCCUUAUUUCCCCUGUCUCUCUAUGACGUGCCAGCCCGCUCCCUUGUGAAUCAGAACAUCCUGAGAACAGCUCUGUUUUCUAAGAGACUGCCUGUGUUCCCGAGGCGUCCUCUUGGCAUCAACGGAUGGCGGAGGCGCUGUGGCCGUCCCCGCUUGUCCCCGGCUGCGGCGGUGCCGCUGCGGAGAAUAAAGCGACUCUACAGCACUUACGGAUCAGGCAGGAAAACCUUUGGAGAGCUAUUUUAAUUGGCUUGCGGCUGGUGCGUGCUGCCAGCGAGGCACAAAGUGUCUGUAAAACAACAAAUGGGGCGUGUGGAAGUGGUAGUGUUGUGACUGUCCUUUUGUAUCCUGUUAAGAAAUGUGACCGUUGAUACCUAUCACCGACCCAACCAGCUUCGGACCGAAAAUGGGCAGUGUGACUCCACUGUCUGUCCUGGAAGACAUAGCUUUUGUCUGAUUGAAUGGUACCAGCAUCAAGACUAAAUAAAGAGAUGCGUUUGGCAUUUCUGGCAUUACUCUGUAAAAAUAAGGGAAUUUGACUUAACUUUUCACAACUUCUUAGUUUAAUUAAUCUAAUUAGUCUAAUCACCAAACAGUAUAAAAAAAACUGUUGAUCUCCCUCUCUUCAUAUGUUAAAUUAACAGACAUUUCUCUAGGAAUCCUUCCAGCAUUAAUAGCAAUGAGCUUUAAACCAGAUUUUGGAAAUAAAAACUUUUCAUUUUCUUGCAAUGCCAAAGCCAUACAUUUCAGGGAGG